rnacentral:lncRNA from 1 species
AAGUGCAAUAUUGAAUUUUAUACAAUUUCAUUAUACUGAAUUCAAUUGUAUUCAAACAAUAAAAAAUCAAGAAAUAGGGUGUAUACUAUUCUAUUCAAUUCGACUAUAUAUAUUGUAUUUAAUUCACCGUAUUCAAUUAGAUUUCAUUCAAACAAUAAAAAAUCACAAAACAGUGAUAUUCGGUUGUAUUAAAAAAAUAUAGGGAUCCGCCACAAAAAAAUAACCUUCGGAAUACAUAAAUAUAGGCGAAAAUACAAUGUAAUUGUACAAAAAUAAAAUAUAUUUGAGUGUAUUUGUACAGAAUAUACUGUAUUUGUAUCAUUGUAUGUGACUCAAUAGCAAAGAAGAGAAGAAAGUUCGUCGGAGAUGGCAUUUUUCGGCCAAGCUAAAUACUGUACACAUUGUAUUAAAAUUAAAAAAUGGAGAUGAACGAAAAGCCGGCCCUCAAAUCUUCUCUGGCGACUCUGCUUCAGAUUUCCAAAAGCUCAAUCCGUAGCCAUGAUCAGAUCUGUUCUCCUACUCCCUCUUCGCUUUAAAUCUAUUUUCUUCGCUUCAUAUCUAUCCAUGGCACGAUGGAAGAUUUGAUACACUAUAUUCAAUUUACUUAAAACUAAAAGUUUCAGAUCUAUGUAUCAUUGAAAAGUCAGAGACGAACAAAAAUCCCGUUUGAACGGGACAAACGUGGGGUUUUUGUAAGGAAUAUAUGAAACACACAUUCUCAUAAAACAAAAAACUGAGACAAAAAGGAAAGUCUACCAUCGCCACCAAGAAUGACUGGUACGACGGCUUCUUGAUGGAAAAGGGAGAGUGACUUGAGGGAAGAGAGAGGAUUGAGAAUCUUCUUAGAAAAAGAGAGAAAUCAUGUGCUAAUUGAAGGAGGAAGAGAGAGAAACGUAACUGGCGUAUGUCACGCCUUAAUGAUGGUAUACAUAAUAAAUAUGUAUUUUGCUAUAAAAUAUGAAAGGUAGUUAUAAUCUAUAUCUAUAUAUAAUUAUAAAGCAGGGCUUCUAACAGUGACGUGGCAUAUGUCUUUGACCAGGAAUGACAUUUAUCAAAUUCCUCAAUAAUUUGGGCAUUUCAUUAACCGCUUCAUACCAGGACGUUUCAAAAUAGAACGUUUCACCGAUUAAAUUUCAAGGCACUAGAAGCAGAGAAAGAAUCGACGAAGCGGAUUCAAUUCCUGUGGCGCUUCAUUAUCUCCAUAUCAACGAACUCAUAUGUCUCAAACUCGAGUAGACGCCGACGAUUACGAAUCCCUACGAUGGGGGUAAUUUUUUCCAGUACCUUUACCUAACCUUAAUCCCUUCUGGUUUUGUUGUCUUUCAAAUUGUAUUGGUUUAUAUAAUGAUGAUAACUGAAAUUUAUUAGUAAUUAAUUCUAAAUCAACUCAGGUUUGCACCUUCUGCAAUAUAAUUACUUUUGUCUACUUCACUUACAUUGAUUAUGCCCAUCUUUGUGUUGCAAUAUAAUCAUCGGAACGACAAGCUAUCAGAGCAUGAGGACUCUCUUCUUCGUCUUACUUUCCUUUUGGCCUGGGAUUUAUGUUUUAAAAAAAGAGUGAACGCAAAAAAUCGAGAAUAGCAUUUGCACUUGGUAUUUGCAGCAUUUAUACGUUCCAUAGUUAUAUGAAAAGUACGCUUAGUAAAUAGUAAUAACAUAAUUUUUUAGUUUGUAUGCAUUGCCAUGUUCAACAGAGAUUGAAAAUGUGUAUCAAAAUUUAGCACCUGUGUUUUUCUAUAUUCAUUGUUUUCAAUUACAUUGGAGAGAUUAAGAGCUUGAAUCUUCAUAUUUACAUCCUAUUUGGUCUAUAUAUGCCAUAUAGACUAAUUUCCAGUGCCGAUCAUUUUGUAUGUCAUUGCUUCAUCCUGAUGACUCAUUCGUGCAAUGGAUAUUGGACUGUGCUGCUAUUUUAAAUUUGUUUCUGUCUCCGCUACCAGGUCCAAAUAUAGAGAAGAAAACAUGUUUCGAGAAAAGGUGAGCAACUGUAUUUUGAUGGAUGGAUUAUUUGAAUAAUAUUUCUUGCAUCAAGGGAAACUUAUGUAGCUUUUCUUUUGCUCUCUCUGUAAAAAGACUUGGAUAGCAUUUCUUUCGCUCUCUUUAUUUGGUAUUCAUCUUUGAUAGCUGAACAUGAUUACAUACAUGUAUAUGUGAGAAUUGUAUAUUGAUCAAUUCCCAGAUAAUUCAGAGGCUUUCUCAGUAAGUUAUUAGGGAUUAAUUUCCUGAAAGUUUUGUUGGGGAACUUUUGAUUUGUCUGAAGAUUGAAGAUGGAGG